rnacentral:rRNA from 1 species
UACGAAGGGGGCGAGUGUUGUUCGGAAUCACUGGGCGUAAAGCGCACGUAGGCGGAUUGCUAAGUCAGGGGUGAAAUCCUGGAGCUCAACUCCAGAACUGCCUUUGAUACUGGUGAUCUUGAGUCCGGGAGAGGUGAGUGGAACUGCGAGUGUAGAGGUGAAAUUCGUAGAUAUUCGCAAGAACACCAGUGGCGAAGGCGGCUCACUGGCCCGGUACUGACGCUGAGGUGCGAAAGCGUGGGGAGCAAACAGG